rnacentral:rRNA from 1 species
GACGAACGCUGGCGGCGUGCUUAACACAUGCAAGUCGAGCGGUAAGGCCCUUUCGGGGUACGACGAGCGGCGAACGGGUAGGAGUAACACGUGGGUGGACCUCGCCCUCCAGCUCUGGGAGUAAGCCUCGGGAAACCGGGGUACGUAAUACCGGAUAUGACUCCAUGACGCAUGUUGUGGGGUGGAAAGACCUUGUGCGGCUGAGGAUGGGCCCGCGGCCUAUCAGCUUGUUGGUGGGGUGAGGCCUACCCAAGGCGACGACGGGUAGCCGGCCUGAGAGGGCGACCGGCCACACUGGGA